CAAUCUGUAACGUAGUUGCAAAACACGUGCACAUGUCUACAUCAACCUUCAGGACUCUCAAUCAUUUUUUUAUUCAAGAUGAUGCUAUCUACAGUGAUGAAGGAGAACACAUCACUCCUCAUCAAGGAUGUGUGAACAGUCUGUGAAUUUCUUGGAAUGUCGAUAGUCUUUCCUUGAUGAUGUCAGAACUGUCACUGGCAUGAACAUUUGCUGUGUCAAGGCCUGUAUCCCGCAACAACUGGAAGUGUUUCAGCACCUCCUUCCCCCAAUUGUCUUAGACAUGUGGGUAUAGGAAAGCCUGUUCAGCAAUACGAAAAUUCGUGGGUCCCAAAACUUACAAAUUGGAUGAAAGCGUGCGUUGGCUUCCUGAUUCAACUAGGACAUGAAUGACAGUGGUGCUAACAGGGAAAUUCACAUAAACUGUCACCAUAAAGCAAACGAACCUGCCAGUGAAUGUCAGGAACCGUCUGUGUGUACAGGCAACCCUGCAACAUAAGCAGAGUGAAGUCAGCUGGGUUCCAGCUUGCCUUCUCCUGUGGUCCCCCUAUGUUGCCACAUCUAAAGAAAUAAAGCAGAAAUAUAAUACAGUUA